GCUUCGGGGCUGCUUCCCGGGAUGGCUGCGGACGCCUCCGGAGCAAAGACUCCUGAAACUACAACUCCCAGAAAACCUGACUUAUCAGUCAGUGCAAGAAAAAUUAAGGACAAUGCAGCUGAUUGGCAUAAUUUAAUACUGAAAUGGGAAACCCUCAGUGAUGCAGGUUUUACCACUGCCAAUAACAUCGCCAAUCUGAAAAUCAGCUUACUGAAUAAAGAACAGAUAGAAUUAGAGAACAGCAACCCAGUGUUCAGUGAAAAUGAAGAAAAGAGGUGUCCAGAAGAUGAUAAAGAACUUGAGUCACUGUGCAAGGAACUGCAGGUCACUUUGGAUGGUUUGGCUAAAAUACAGGUGAAAAUGGAAAAGCUAUCUUCAACUACCAAGGGAAUUUGUGAGCUAGAAAAUUAUUAUUAUGGGGAGGAGCACAGACGCCCCCCCCUGUUCCAUACCUGGCCUACCACCUAUUUCUAUGAGGUUUCCCACCAGCUCUCUGACAUGUACCGGAAGGACCUCCUCCUGAAGCACACAGUGGCUGCAGAGCUGGCACACACGGCCAACCGAGACCUGUCCCUCAGCUACCUGUCCAUGUGGCUACACCAGCCCUAUGUGGAGGGCAGGAGCAAGCUCCUCCUGGAGAGCAUGCUGUGGGAGACAGGCCACCGGGGGCUGUGAUGCCUGACAGACCACACCAACCAAGCCAGGCUCCAGACCAGUGGACUCUCCCCUGCCCUCAGAUGGACAGGGCCCCAGGUCUGGCCCUGGGACAAUAUCACCCUCCCCUGCAUGCAUGCGCCCGCACCUGCUGAGAAGUUCCCACUGGGGCACCUGCAUGAGACUCAGCGCUCCUGAGAGAGGACACUGAAGAUUCACCACCAUAACGGCCUUCCACGACAUUCCAAUGUGCUCCCAGACUCCCAUCAGCCCUUGCUCAGGAAAGUUAAACGACUGCUUCUCCUAAGUACUACAGAAGCAAAAGAGCUAACAGGUGAACAAGGAAUCUGAACCAGGUAUGGUGGUUCAUACCUGUAGUUCCAGAUACUCAAAAGACUAAGACAAGGAGGAUCACAAGUUGAAGGCCAUCCUGAGUGUCUUAGACCUCGAAAUACAUUUUUUAAUUUUUAAAUAAAUUUUAUGACUGUGUAUAGCUUACCAGGCAUUCUCAGGCUCUUGGUUCAAGUUUCAAUGCUGUAGAAACAAACACACACAAACCCUGAGGAGUAACUUCUGAGAGUAACAAUGAAAUAGAGGGCUGAUCACAUAGUUAUGUCCCCUACCUGUACAAAUCCUGCCAAACUGACAGAACGGAAACAUGAAAAUCUACCAAUGGAUUUGGGGAAAAUGUGUGUGUGAGACGUGACUCCAGGAUACACAAAAACUUACACAAAGCCAAAAAACACAAGGCACACUU